UUAAAUUGAAGAGUUUGAUCAUGGCUCAGAUUGAACGCUGGCGGCAGGCCUAACACAUGCAAGUCGAACGGUAACAGGGAUCAGCUUGCUGAUUUGCUGACGAGUGGCGGACGGGUGAGUAAUGUCUGGGAAACUGCCUGAUGGAGGGGGAUAACUACUGGAAACGGUAGCUAAUACCGCAUAACGUCGCAAGACCAAAGAGGGGGACCUUCGGGCCUCUUGCCAUCGGAUGUGCCCAGAUGGGAUUAGCUAGUAGGUGGGGUAACGGCUCACCUAGGCGACGAUCCCUAGCUGGUCUGAGAGGAUGACCAGCCACACUGGAACUGAGACACGGUCCAGACUCCUACGGGAGGCAGCAGUGGGGAAUAUUGCACAAUGGGCGCAAGCCUGAUGCAGCCAUGCCGCGUGUAUGAAGAAGGCCUCGGGUUGUAAAGUA
rnacentral:rRNA from 1 species